UCCUACGGGAGGCAGCAGUAGGGAAUCUUCCGCAAUGGACGAAAGUCUGACGGAGCAACGCCGCGUGAGUGAUGAAGGCUUUCGGGUCGUAAAACUCUGUUGUUAGGGAAGAACAAGUGCUAGUUGAAUAAGCUGGCACCUUGACGGUACCUAACCAGAAAGCCACGGCUAACUACGUGCCAGCAGCCGCGGUAAUACGUAGGUGGCAAGCGUUAUCCGGAAUUACUGGGCGUAAAGCGCGCGCAGGUGGUUUCUUAAGUCUGAUGUGAAAGCCCACGGCUCAACCGUGGAGGGUCAUUGGAAACUGGGAGACUUGAGUGCAGAAGAGGAAAGUGGAAUUCCAUGUGUAGCGGUGAAAUGCGUAGAGAUAUGGAGGAACACCAGUGGCGAAGGCGACUUUCUGGUCUGUAACUGACACUGAGGCGCGAAAGCGUGGGGAGCAAACAGGAUUAGAUACCCUGGUAGUCCACGCCGUAAACGAUGAGUGCUAAGUGUUAGAGGGUUUCCGCCCUUUAGUGCUGAAGUUAACGCAUUAAGCACUCCGCCUGGGGAGUACGGCCGCAAGGCUGAAACUCAAAGGAA
rnacentral:rRNA from 1 species